rnacentral:rRNA from 1 species
UAGGGAAUCUUCGGCAAUGGGGGGAACCCUGACCGAGCAACGCCGCGUGAGUGAAGAAGGUUUUCGGAUCGUAAAGCUCUGUUGUUAAGGAAGAACGAGUGUGAGAAUGGAAAGUUCAUGCUGUGACGGUACUUAACCAGAAAGGGACGGCUAACUACGUGCCAGCAGCCGCGGUAAUACGUAGGUGGCAAGCGUUGUCCGGAUUUAUUGGGCGUAAAGCGAGCGCAGGCGGUCAAUUAAGUCUGAUGUGAAAGCCCCCGGCUCAACCGGGGAGGGUCAUUGGAAACUGGUUGACUUGAGUGCAGAAGAGGGGAGUGGAAUUCCAUGUGUAGCGGUGAAAUGCGUAGAUAUAUGGAGGAACACCAGUGGCGAAGGCGACUCUCUGGUCUGUAACUGACGCUGAGGCUCGAAAGCGUGGGGAGCGAACAGG